rnacentral:rRNA from 1 species
CUCGGGAGGCAGCAGUGGGGAAUUUUCCGCAAUGGGCGAAAGCCUGACGGAGCAACGCCGCGGUGAGGGAUGAAGGCCUCUGGGCUGUAAACCUCUUUUAUCAAGGAAGAAGAUCUGACGGUACCUGAUGAAUAAGCCACGGCUAAUUCCGUGCCAGCAGCCGCGGUAAUACGGGAGUGGCAGGCGUUAUCCGGAAUUAUUGGGCGUAAAGCGUCCGCAGGCGGCCCUUCAAGUCUGCUGUUAAAAAGUGGAGCUUAACUCCAUCAUGGCAGUGGAAACUGUUGGGCUUGAGUGUGGUAGGGGCAGAGGGAAUUCCCGGUGUAGCGGUGAAAUGCGUAGAUAUCGGGAAGAACACCAGUGGCGAAGGCGCUCUGCUGGGCCAUCACUGACGCUCAUGGACGAAAGCCAGGGGAGCGAAAGGGAUUAGAUACCCCUGUAGUCCUGGCCGUAAACGAUGAACACUAGGUGUCGGGGGAAUCGACCCCCUCGGUGUCGUANCCAACGCGUUAAGUGUUCCGCCUGGGGAGUACGCACGCAAG